UUUUUUUUUUUUUUUUUUUUUUGGAAUGCUCGAUUUGUCUUUUUAACGUUUCCCCCUCCCCUCCCCUCCCUCUCCCCCGGAUUUUCGAGAAACACGUUUAACCAUCGAGAUGCGUGGUACACAAUACAUGUGUAUAUCAAAAUAAUUUCGAGCGAGUUGAUAGUCGGUCGUGUUUAUUUUUUUCAUUAGUGGAAUGUGAAUCGAUCCCGUUCUCAUUAUACGUUUCUUUCGUGUUUUUAUUUUUUUUUUCACUCGCGAUCGCAGCCGAACGAAUAUGUAAUUAUGCCUAAUAAUAAUAAUAAUAAUAUGUAUAUUAUAGAAUCGAAGCACAGCGUUUCUCUCUCUCCCCCCCCUCUCUCUAUAUAUAUAUAAAAAAAAAAAAAAAUGAAUAAUAAUAAAACAACUACCUACCUAAAUAUGUCGUAAUGAUAUGAUUAGAGUUUUCUUAUAUAAAAAAAAAAAAAAAAAAAACUAAAAAAACAACAAAAAAAAA